UGCCGUCGUCGUUGCCAUGGGACGAAGGAGAGAGGAAAAGAUGCGAUGUACAUAGCAGCUCACUGCCGUGCUUCAUCUCAGCCGCUGCCAUGGACGCCGGUGAGUUGCACGAUGUCAUCGGAGUUUGAUGAGGAAGAUUCGUAGAUUGGGUUUUCCAAAAUCAAGGUUUGGAAUUUGGUGAAGGUUGGUUCAGUGGUUGGAUUCCUGGAGUUGCUGUUCUGCCACCGCCGUUGCUGUAGCCGUGCUUCUAUUGCCGGAAAAUGGCGCCGUUGUCGCCAGAGAACCACCGUUGAAGCCGCUAUUGUUCUGCUGCCGCCAAAACCCUUGUCUUCUUGGUUGGUCGUUUAGAUGGUAUGCAGCAAUUGUGUAAGGUCUUUGGGUUGUUCAAGCUGGAACCUUUGCCAAAUUAGUGAGAAUAAACAACACUAGGAGGAGUUUGCAAGCUGUCCCUAGUAUUUCUUAUUCGCCUACUCACCAAUUCAAGACAUUCACAGUGAUGAUGGUGGAUACGGGUUCCGUGUCAAGAAGUGCUGAUUCACAGUAAUGAUGCCAGAGAAAGAUGAUGAUGGCCGGUUUGCAAGAGGAGGAUGGAAUAGUGAGGAUGGAAGGCUUAGCUGUGGGUAUUCAAGCUUCAAAGAGGAAGAAAGUAUCGAUGAGGAUUUUCACGAUAUUAAAACAUUGAAAACUGGUGGUCAUUCAGUAUGCUUACUUGGAAUAUUUGAUGGUCAUGGUGGUUCUCGUGCUGCAGAGUAUUUGAAAGAGCAUCUCUUUGAUAAUCUCAUGAAGCAUCCAAAAUUUUUACUGAUGCCAAAUUGGCUAUAAGUGAAACGUACCAAGAGAUUAUAGGACUAUAAUAUCGAAGGCUGCUCUCUGUGAGGAUCAUGGGCCAAAUAGAAGGGAUGAACGAAAGAGGAAUUAAUGCGUUUAAACUAAAUUGAGGUAGGGGCGUUUUCAUUAAACUCAUUUUUAUUCUUAAGAGUUGUUAUAAAUUGAUAUUUAAGCAAAUAAAUAUUUUUAGUGAUUAUGGAGUCUUAUGAAUUGAAUUGAAUUGCCUUGAAUGAAUGUGAUUGCUUACUUAAUUGUGGCUAUUUCUGAAUAUUGAGUUGGUAUUGAGAUAGUGAGUGGAAGAUUAAUUUGAAAAUCUGAUUUGAAUGUUUAUCAAGUAUAAUUUGAGAAUUGGAAAAUGAUUUGAUGUUAGAGUUAAUUUGGGUUUGGAAAACGGCUUGAGAUUUGUGAAUGACUCGGAUUUGAAACCAUUGAAAAGGGUCUGAGUAAAUGUUGGUUGGCUUUGUUGGAAAUGAAUUGAAAUCUGGAAAGGAUUAUAACAUUAGAAAUAAGUUUGAUUUGUUGAAAAAUGAGUUUAAAUUGAAAAUGGUCUGAGAUAUUGAAAUUGGUCUGAUUUUGAAAUUGAAUUGAAAGGAGUUUGAGAAAUGGUUUUGUUGGGACCCGAAAAGGGUGGCUGAAUCCGAUUUUAGAGGAGAUGCUGCCGAAAUUUUAUAAAAUUAGAAGUUUCAUUUGAAGUAGUUAUUUUAAAAAGGUUUAAUUU